AGGAGUAAGUUUAAUUGGUCGCCAGAUGAAACGGUCUGCCUCCUACAUCAAAUUCAUGAAAAAAUACGUAUAAUCAGAGGGUGUUAUGGGAAGAGUAUCACCCCUGAGGAUAAGAAGAGAGCGUGGACUGAAGUGGCAGAAGCUGUAACAAGUGCAUUCCCUGGGAGUGGAUCCCGUACGCAGGAUGACUGUGAGAGGCGUUGGUACAACGUACAACAAAAAUCAAAGCCUCGCAUUGCCAAGUGCAAGAAUGAGCAGCGGCAGACUGCCCCGCUGCUGUAUUGCUAGAGACCAUCCCAACACAUUGUUCAUUACUUGUGGAAAAGAUACCAUCAGCUGCUCCGGCAACAGCCACUGCUUCAUCAUCUGCUGGCCCUAUGACACCUGCCACUGCUUCAUCAUCUGCUGGCCCAAUGACACCUGCCAC